rnacentral:lncRNA from 1 species
AACGGUCCGAGUUCCGCCGCCGCCGCUGUCACCGCACUAGGUGUCGGUGUUAUCCCACUUCUUACAGCGGCUCCUUGUUUACCUCCACAAAAUGUGGAAGACACUGGUAAGUUCAGUGGGAUACAACUAUGGCAGAACCAAAGUUCUUCACCUUAUCUUAAAAAACCAGCUUCAUUCCUUGAUAAUAGUAAUCCCUCCAUGAUGGCCGGUGACGGCGGUGGAAUGGGUGGAGGUAGCGGUGGUUCUGGUUCUAGUUCAGGGGCAACAUGUCAAGAUUGUGGGAAUCAAG